rnacentral:tRNA from 1 species
AUGGUAGCUUAGUCGGGUAAAGCGCUCGCUUCUCACGCCAGUAGAUGCGGGUGCGAAUCCCGGCGCUGAAUA